AUUGAAUGCUGGCGGCAGGCCUAACACAUGCAAGUCGAGCGGCAGCGGGAAAGUAGCUUGCUACUUUUGCCGGCGAGCGGCGGACGGGUGAGUAAUGCCUGGGAAAUUGCCCAGUCGAGGGGGAUAACAGUUGGAAACGACUGCUAAUACCGCAUACGCCCUACGGGGGAAAGCAGGGGACCUUCGGGCCUUGCGCGAUUGGAUCUGCCCAGGUGGGAUUAGCCAGUUGGUGAGGUAAUGGCUCACCAAGGCGACGAUCCCUAGCUGGUCUGAGAGGAUGAUCAGCCACACUGGAACUGAGACACGGUCCAGACUCCUACGGGAGGCAGCAGUGGGGAAUAUUGCACAAUGGGGGAAACCCUGAUGCAGCCAUGCCGCGUGUGUGAAGAAGGCCUUCGGGUUGUAAAGCACUUUCAGCGAGGAGGAAAGGUUGAUGCCUAAUACGUAUCAACUGUGACGUUACUCGCAGAAGAAGCACCGGCUAACUCCGUGCCAGCAGCCGCCGCAGUAA
rnacentral:rRNA from 1 species